AAGUUAGGUUGGCAAUUCAAAAUGAUUCAUAAUCCGUAUUAAGUUUUUGCACAUUUUUACCUAUUCAGAGUUAAUGAUGCAUGAGGAUUAUGAAAGGUCUCCUUGGUGGUAUGUGGAGUUUCUGAGUUACGAUUCAUGUACUAAAACAAAGGGAAAACUUCAAAAACCCCCCAUGUGGUUUCGUGCUUUCUCACUUUAGUACCCUGUAGUUUAAAACGUAUCAAUUUGUCCCCCUGUGGUUUCGUUUUUCUCUUUUUGUUAUCAAUUUUAUUAUUAUUUUUUUCUUAAAUCAGUGACAAAGUUAAAAUUAAAGAAUACUAAAGUGAAUAUUCGAUAAAUAUAGAUGGUUAUCUGAAGUUUUUUGUAUAUAAUUUAACGAAAUGUUAACGAAAAAGCUUUCGAAAAGAUAAAAAUGAAACCACAGGGGGGCAAAUUGAUAGGUUUUAAACCACAGGGUAGUAAAGUGAGAAUGCAUGAAACCACCGGGGGGGUUUUUGAAAUUUUUCCUAAAACAAAACAUGCCAAUAAA
rnacentral:lncRNA from 1 species